GGACGAAAGUAGUGGCGGACGGGUGAGUAACACGUGAGCACCUGCCUUUCAGAGGGGGAUAACAGCCGGAAACGGCUGCUAAUACCGCAUAAUGGCACAUGCCCAAAGGCAAUCCGCUGAAAGAUGGGCUCGCGUCCGAUUAGCCAGUUGGCGGGGUAACGGCCCACCAAAGCGACGAUCGGUAGCCGGACUGAGAGGUUGAACGGCCACAUUGGGACUGAGACACGGCCCAGACUCCUACGGGAGGCAGCAGUGGGGGAUAUUGCACAAUGGGCGAAAGCCUGAUGCAGCGACGCCGCGUGAGGGAAGACGGUCUUCGGAUUGUAAACCUCUGUCUUUGGGGAAGAAAAUGACGGUACCCAAAGAGGAAGCUCCGGCUAACUACGUGCCAGCAGCCGCGGUAAUACGUAGGGAGCAAGCGUUGUCCGGAAUUACUGGGUGUAAAGGGAGCGUAGGCGGGAUGGCAAGUAGAAUGUUAAAUCCAUCGGCUCAACCGGUGGCUGCGUUCUAAACUGCCGUUCUUGAGUGAAGUAGAGGCAGGCGGAAUUCCUAGUGUAGCGGUGAAAUGCGUAGAUAUUAGGAGGAACACCAAUGGCGA
rnacentral:rRNA from 1 species